rnacentral:rRNA from 1 species
GACGAACGCUGGCGGCGCGCUUAACACAUGCAAGUCGAACGGAAAGGCCCUGCUUUUGUGGGGUGCUCGAGUGGCGAACGGGUGAGUAACACGUGAGUAACCUGCCCUUGACUUUGGGAUAACUUCAGGAAACUGGGGCUAAUACCGGAUAGGAGCACCUGCUGCAUGGUGGGGGUUGGAAAGUUUCGGCGGUUGGGGAUGGACUCGCGGCUUAUCAGCUUGUUGGUGGGGUAGUGGCUUACCAAGGCUUUGACGGGUAGCCGGCCUGAGAGGGUGACCGGCCACAUUGGGACUGAGAUACGGCCCAGACUCCUACGGGAGGCAGCAGUGGGGAAUAUUGCACAAUGGGCGGAAGCCUGAUGCAGCAACGCCGCGUGCGGGAUGACGGCCUUCGGGUUGUAAACCGCUUUCGCCUGUGACGAAGCGUGAGUGACGGUAAUGGGUAAAGAAGCACCGGCUAACUACGUG